UUUUUGAUUUUUUUGUAAGGAUUUAGUGUGGGAGCCUGGGAGGUGAAAUAUCUACAUCAACUUCUUUGGCGAUACUUUCUUACAAACAACUAUGGCAUAUACCACAGUGAAGUCUAUGCCAAAAGAUCAUAGUGGCAGAAUCUCCAAGGAGUAUCUGCGAGUAGGGCCCGAUCAUGUGGCUUCUUCAGUCGAUUGCACCAGUUAGUGUUGUUUAUCAGGUAGGAGUUCCCAACAACCAUUCUAGCAAGAAUUCAGGUUCACAUCUUAAACUACGUGGAAUGAACGGAAGUGAAACGUUGAAGUACAAAACUUGUAGACGACCGGUUCGUGGAGGGAUCAAUUAUGUUUAGCUAAUGACUUGGUCCAUUAUUCUUGUAUAUCAUAUGAUAAUCUGAGAUAUUUUACUUUCAAUACUUUGUUUAGGGUGAUUUGGUUUAUAAUGCAUUGUAGUGAAUCUUUGUUUUUCUCUUUUUAAACUUGGAAUCCUAUGGUUGCUCUUAGUUGGCCUUAUUGUAUUUUCUUUUCCUCUCAAUUAGGUAUUGUAAACGAAUUAGUUUGCUGUAAUGUAUAUUUGA